AUGCUUCUUCCCUUGCUGGAACCAGUGUAUUUUUUGCUACAACUGUCUUCAAUUUUUGGUGGAACUAAUAUUUUUUUUUGCUUCCAUGUCAUUUCUUGCUGGAACCAUUGUAUCACUUUUGCUACAAACGUUUUGAUUUUUUUCUACUACCGCCAUGUUGAUUUGUUACAUCCAUUUUUUCAUGAGGUUAAGGAGACCCACAGCGAUGAGGUUACGGAAACCGCCCAAUAUGCUUCCACCGGAUUUGGUUUUUGCUGGAACCCGCUCCAAAAGAUGUUGCAACCUGCAGUGGUGCGGUCGGCGUCCAUGGUGUGA
rnacentral:rRNA from 1 species